rnacentral:lncRNA from 1 species
CGGACGCCUAAGACGGAGGGAGGCCACGCUGGGACUCGCCAGGACGACACGCUGUCGCCCUUUUUUUUGUGUUUUAUCUAUAUAGUGUUUUUAUAAUUGCACGUUUAUAACGGACAACUUUCGCCAGUGGAUUACAUCUAUGACCUGUGAGACGAUAUCAGAAAUUCCUAAAGAAGAUCCAGAAAGUGGUGGUUCCUCGUGAGAUCAGUUUCCAUGAGGAGCUCCAUGACAAAUUAAAUACUCAUCCAGCAAGUAGUAGCCUUGGUGGCAAGUAUUGGGAAAACGAAUCCUUAACAGUGCCAGCAGAGAUCCUACAGGAUAUUAUGGAAAGAUAGGUUCAGUCUUUCAUACAAGGGCAGUCAGAUGAGUCUAAAAGAUACAGGUGUUGAAGAGGACCCGGUUAUUCUGGAUAUGAUCAUCCUACUGUAGAGGAAUCGACUGACAAUGGAACUGCAGAGAUUAACUGACUGACCUGCUAAAGUAACUGAACCUUAGAAAAAUCUGGCAGAUGAGAGAGACUUCAGGAAGAUGUGGAGGCUGGUACAGCACGGUCGCCUUUCCCAGAAGCAUGUAGAUGAAUGACGCCCAAGGAACUGCCAUAUAUCCCAGAUCAUGCUCUCUUUUCAUUUAUCAUUUAAAUGUCCAUUCAUGUGAAAUGGAAUUUGUCUCAGUUUUUUAUUUACUGGCAUUACUUUUUGGUGUGACAGUUAUUCAGC